rnacentral:rRNA from 1 species
GACGAACGCUUGCGGCGUGCCUGAGAAAUGCAAGUCGAACGGGAGGGGAGGGCAACUUCCCCUUGAGUGGCGAACGGUCGAGUAACGCGUAAGCAACCUGCCCGAAAGCGGGGGAUAAGCCGGCGAAAGCCGGGGUAAUACCGCAUAGCUCAGCUUUUGGCAUCAGAGGUUGAGAAAGGUUCACUACUUUCGGAGGGGCUUGCGUUCUAUCAGCUAGUUGGUGGGGUAACGGCCUACCAAGGCGACGACGGAUAGCUGGUCUGAGAGGACGAUCAGC